UACGUAGGGUGCGAGCGUUAAUCGGAAUUACUGGGCGUAAAGCGCGCGUAGGUGGUUCAGCAAGUUGAAGGUGAAAUCCCCGGGCUCAACCUGGGAACUGCCUCCAAAACUACUGAGCUAGAGUACGGUAGAGGGUAGUGGAAUUUCCUGUGUAGCGGUGAAAUGCGUAGAUAUAGGAAGGAACACCAGUGGCGAAGGCGACUACCUGGACUGAUACUGACACUGAGGUGCGAAAGCGUGGGGAGCAAACAGG
rnacentral:rRNA from 1 species